rnacentral:rRNA from 1 species
UACGUAGGGUGCAGGCGUUAAUCGGAAUUACUGGGCGUAAAGCGUGCGCAGGCGGUUUCUUAAGUCAGAUGUGAAAUCCCCGGGCUUAACCUGGGAACUGCGUUUGAAACUGGGAGACUUGAGUGUGGCAGAGGGGGGUGGAAUUCCACGUGUAGCAGUGAAAUGCGUAGAGAUGCGGAGGAACACCGAUGGCGAAGGCAGCCCCCUGGGCUGACACUGACGCUCAGGCACGAAAGCGUGGGGAGCAAACAGG